UACGUAGGGCGCAAGCGUUGUCCGGAAUUAUUGGGCGUAAAGAGCUCGUAGGCGGUCUGUCGCGUCUGCUGUGAAAACUCAGGGCUUAACCCUGAGCUUGCAGUGGGUACGGGCAGACUAGAGUGCGGUAGGGGAGACUGGAAUUCCUGGUGUAGCGGUGAAAUGCGCAGAUAUCAGGAGGGACACCGGUGGCGAAGGCGGGUCUCUGGGCCGUAACUGACGCUGAGGAGCGAAAGCAUGGGGAGCGAACAGG
rnacentral:rRNA from 1 species